rnacentral:rRNA from 1 species
GAUGAACGCUGGCGGCGUGCUUAACACAUGCAAGUCGAACGGGAUCCAAGGGGUGCUUGCACUUUUUGGUGAGAGUGGCGAACGGGUGAGUAACACGUGAGUAACCUGUCCUUUUCUUUGGGAUAAGCAUUCGAAAGGGUGUUUAAUACCUUAUGUUCUGUCUGCCUCGCAUGGGGUGGGUGGGAAAGGCUUUGGCCGGAUUUGGGUGGGCUCGCGGUCUAUCAGCUUGUUGGUGGGGUGAUGGCUUACCAAGGCUUUGACGGGUAGCCGGCCUGAGAGGGUGGUCGGUCACAUUGGGACUGAGAUACGGCCCAGACUCCUGCGGGAGGCAGCAGUGGGGGAUAUUGCACAAUGGGCGAAAGCCUGAUGCAGCGACGCCGCGUGGGGGAUGAAGGCCUUCGGGUUGUAAACUUCUUUUGCUCUGAACAAGGCAUGCCAGUGGGUGUGUGGAGUGGAGGGGUUGAUGAGCGCCGGCUAACUACGUG